GAUGAAGAACGUAGCGAAAUGCGAUAAGUAAUGUGAAUUGCAGAAUUCAGUGAAUCAUCGAAUCUUUGAACGCACAUUGCGCCCAUUAGUAUUCUAGUGGACAUGCCUGUUCGAGCGUCAUUAAUUCCACUUAAGCCCUGCUUAGUGUUGGGAAUCUACUCUAGUGGUGCUACCCUGGAGCUACCCCUGAAAGGGGGCUGGCCCGGUAGCUACCCUGUAGUUCCUCAAAGAUAGUGCGCGGAGUUGCGUGGUCCUCUGAGCUUAGUAACUAUACACCUAGCUUUUGAGUGUCCCGCGGCGCCUGCCGUUUAAACCCCAUCUUUUAAUGGUUGACCUCGGAUCAGGUAGGAAUACCCGCUGAACUUAAGCAUAUCAAUAAGCGGAGGA
rnacentral:misc_RNA from 1 species